CGACGGCACCACCCUGCGCGUGGCGCUGCCGCCCGCCGCCGCCAACGUCACCUACGCCUGCACCGUCAGCAACCCCGCCGACCGCAAGGACGCCCUCUUCCACCUGCGCGGCCUCUGCCAGGGCGCCGGGGGGCACUCGGCCUUCUCCACCUCUGGCUACGUGGUGCUGGCGCUGAUCCUGGUGGCCGCCGGCCUGGGCGGCGCCUUCUGGUGCUGGAGGGUCAACAGCGAGAAGGCGGCGCGGGCAGCCGCCACGCCCACGGCGCCGCCCGAGGAGAGCCCCGGGGAGCCCCAAUACAGCGACAUCGUCUGCAGGAGCCCCCCCGAGGGCAACGACCAGGGUCCCAGCCCCGCUGAGGCCCCGCAGGAACCCGGCGAACCCCAAAAAUCCGAACCCGGCGAACCCCAAAAAUCCGAACCCGG
rnacentral:lncRNA from 1 species